ACCCCGUGUGCGUGCGCGUUCCUCUCACCACGGCGAACUUCCAGCCUCUCCCGCCGCGGCUUCCGCGCCGUCCGCUCGGCAGUGGCGCCGCCGCCUCGCCGCGCAAUGGCCCCCGCCGUGCUCCUCCGCCUCGCCCCCUCGCCUCCGUAUCCCCAGAACCCGCCGCCCCGGCGGCGGAGCCCCGCCUCGGCAUGCGGCGCCUCGCGCCGCGACUUCGCCAUCCACACCGCCAUCGCCUCCGCCUCCGCCGCGGUUGCGGUCUCCGUUCGUCCGGCCACCGCCGCCGCCGCCGACGAGGAGGCGCCACCGGGGGAGCCUUCCCAAAAUAAGAAGGGCUCCCCUCUGCUGGGCGGCAUCGCGAACACCAAGUCGUGGUCGCAGUACUACGGCAGCGGCUUCUCCAUCCGCGUUCCCCCUUCCUUCGACGACAUCUUGGAGCCCGAGGAGUUCAACGUCGGGAUGACCUACUACGGCGACAAGGCGAAGCCCAGGACAUACGCUGCUCGCUUCGCGUCUCCGGACAGGUCUGAACUUGUAAGCGUGGUAAUUAAGCCAUCGAAUCAGCUCAAAAUCACAUUCCUAGAGGCCAAAGAUAUAACAGACCUGGGCACUUUAAAGGAGGCAUCAAAGAUAUUUGUACCUGGUGGCGCAAAAUUAUACUCAGCUCGAACAAUUAAAGUUAAGGAUGAAGAUGAUAUAAGAUUGGUUCUGCAGGACAUAUUACUUUUAUGAGUUUGGUGUGGACAAAGAACAUGUUGCUGUAAUGGCUACUGUGAAUAGUGGAAAGACAUAUAUUGCCGGUGCCACUGCUCCAGAGACAAAGUGGGACGAUGAUGGCGUGAAGUUGCGAUCGGCUGCUGUAUCUUUGUCUGUUUUAUGAUGCAAAGCAGAAUACCAAGCAUUUAUUCAGAAUUUCAGGCCGCAGCUGCAUAGAUGAAUCAUAUCAUCUUAUUUUUUGGUCGUGUUUUUUUAGAUAAUAGAUAGAUAAAACAUGUCCUCUACACCCAAAUGGGUGUACGCAGCCAAAGGAUAAUACAAGAGUACUUAGACCCAA